CCGAGAAGUAGGUGUGUAGCUCAACAAGGUCAUCUGUAAUUCUAUCAUUUCUUUUUUCUCAGUCCAAGUGUCAUCGUGGUAAUAAAAUUACCAAGUGUUUUCCGCCAAUUCUCGCGCCUACAAUUAACGCAUUAUGAAAGUAAAAGUCCACACAAAAGAACAUUAUGAAGAGGACCGAUGAUUUAUACAUCAACGAAGAGGUCAGUCGUUAUGUCAGGGGUGUCGUUACAUUCAAUAUCACAACGUAGAAAUCUGAAGGCAUUACCUUUCUUGCCAAAGUCAGUAAGGGAACACGUGUUUUCUUGAGUUGAUUAACUUGUUCUUAGUCAGCCGCCCGAGAACUGGUCGAUUAAAACAGUCCGAGGCCUGUUCCUAUCAAGAUUUGAAGAACGGCAUCGAUUGUGAGGUCUCCCUUUUUCCAAUCUGCAGUGAACUAAACUAGGCCUUUUAGUCGCUGUGAAUGUACAGUCUUAUUCUUCAGUUUAUCAUGACAUAGAGCAUCGGUUACAACAAGCAGAAUUUAUUAUUAUUUGGUUAUGCUCAUUUCAUCAUAUUAUGCUUACUUCAGCUGUCAGAUGUUUGAUUCAGUCUCUGUGGCUUACUGUUCUAAAAUCCUAACGUCCUGAGAGAGCUACAUUCGAUCAGAACUCUAAGAAUAAGCGGCACACAACCUGGCCAUAAAUGGUCGGUGGACAGUCUAGGUUAUAACCCUAGUUAUAACCUAGUUAUAAACUUACGUCUAAGAAACUAUUUAAAUUUAUUCGUCAAGUUGAAAAAAGUCAGAGUUUACACAACUGUGAAUUCGAUUGAGCAUCGAAUUCCGCUACUUCCAGUCGUCUAUAAGCAUGGCACUGCAAAGGAUGUUACAUAUUCUAUAUGUUCUAUUAAUGUUGCUUGGAUAUGAAGACCCAAGACAAGCGUAUAAUUAUAAGAAUACAACAAUUAAACCUAUAUGAAGUUCUACAUAUUGCAUACAAAGAGCGUAUUCUGAACGUCCCUGUUUGUUGCUGCAGUGCUUCGCCUAAUAUUGAUGGAGAAAAGUCUACUGCUACAAGGCAGACGGCCCCUACAUGUGCUGGCUGCCAUCUCACUACGACUAUUGGUAUAGCAGUCAGAAUCAGCGGAACGUUUCUUUCGCCGCGUAUUGAGUAAGUGAAGGGUGUAUCUGUGCGUCAGCGACAAAAGGAAAAAGCGUGGGGGGCCAAAAGUCUUACUGCUGAUUCGACAUCCCGCACACAGUGACGGAACAAACGUGAGGGGUCCCUCUAAUGUGAUGCCUGUCACAAGCGUCCAACUAACAAACGUGUGAGGUGAACCAACAUUCCCCGGCCCUGUUUCAACCGUGGAGCUCCUCAGCGUGCCCCUCAGACCUUUUCUACUUAUUGGAGUAGCUGUCACGUAUGACCAGGAUCAACUACAAUAGAACAGCGGAAAAGCACAUGUACUAUACACCCAAUACGCCAUACUGUUCAGCCCAUAAACAUUAACUUAAACUAUUCAUAAAGAUAAAUAUAGACAUAUAGUUUCAUGUAGACGGAUCCUCCGACACGUUUCCCUAUUCAUGUUAAAAUAUAUGAUAGCACGUGUCCAUUUUUACUCAUUUGGGCAACGAGAUCGAUUCAAGCGUUAAAGUAAUGCAGAAUGGGACGAAAAUAUUAAUUAUCUCUUACAGCUAAUUGCAGCUCGAUGCAUCAGAUAAAAGAAAAACGUAGAUAACUGAGACUCUAGAAAAUAUUGAUCGAGCGUAAACAACGAAAUAUGCAACCAUCGGCCAUGACU